CGCCUGUUUAACAAAAACAUCUCUUCUUGUUUAUUUAGGAGGUAUGACCUGCCUACUGAAAUAUUUUGAAUGGCCGCGGUAAUUUGACCGUGCAAAGGUAACAUAAUCAUUAGUCUUUUAAUUGAAGGCUUGUAUGAAUGGUUGGACGAGAUGAAUACUGUCUUAUUAAUUUUUGAGUUAAAAAGCUUAAAUGAUUUUUUGGCACGAGAAGACCCUAUAGAGUUUUAUAUUUGUUACUUUGUCUUUUUUGUUGGUUAUUUUGUGUUUUGCAAUGAUUAUUUAUUUUGUUGGGGUGAUGGGAAGAUUACAAUAACUUUUGUUUGUUUAUUGAUUUAUAUAUUGUUGAUCCAUGAUUUUGUGAUUAUAAGUUUAAAUUACCUUAGGGAUAACAGCGUAAUCUUUUUUGAGAGUUCUUAUCGGCAAAAGGGAUUGCGACCUCGAUGUUGGAUUAAGAUAAAUAUUGGAUGUAGAAGUUCAUUUAUUAGGUCUGUUCGACCUUUAAAAUCUUACGUGAUCUGAGUUCAGACCGG
rnacentral:rRNA from 1 species